rnacentral:lncRNA from 1 species
GACAGAAUUUCACCCUUGUUUCCCAGGCUGGAGUCCAAUGGCACGAUCUCGGCUCACUGUAACCUCCACCUCACAACCAGGCACUUUCUUUAGGGGAGUAUGUACAGCACCAACAGUUUGUUCAUUUUUUCCUGAUCCUGAUCCUCCAGAGGCCAGAAGCAACAAGAGGGUAAGGGGAGGAGGAACAAGAGGAAUGGAAGAACAAGGUGAAGAGGUAUUGAAAAUAAAGACUGCUGUUCUCCCUUACAUAGGUCAGUCCUGAGCUAAGUGGUGGGAAAAAAUUUGAAUGAAAUGAUAAAAUCAAGUUGUAAUUUACACUGGACUACACUUUUUUCCUUUUACCAGAGAUAUGUCUGUUUAUGGCUGAAAGAGGUCAGAAAACAGGGACUAAGCUUGUGAUGCCAUCAGCAAGUGAGAGAGAAAACUCCCAGUCACUGGAUGGGAAAGCAGUGGCUGGAGAAAAGUGAAGAUAUUCCCUGCUUCUUCCCUAAGGAGAGAAGCCCAUUCAGUAAACCUGCCAUACUCAGGAAGGCACUGUAGCAGGAUUGCCAGACAAUGGCCUUUUCGGGUUUCUAGUCAUGGAUUUCAAAUGAAGUUAGUCGGCUAUAUUGUGAUUCCAACCACACUCCCGUCACAACUCCCAGCCCAAAUGUUCUGCUUCUCCAGGAUAGGCAUGGAAAAAGUGAACAGUUGGGUUUGACCACGGUUUGGUUUUGCUCUACAAACACAGUGCACAGGAAGGGAGUGAGAAGUAAGCUGAGGUAUUUUCAAGGAAGUGGCUAUAAUGGAUUGUAAGUGGAAUCUAAGUUGGAUGAAGAGGAAAAUAGAGACAUCAGGAGGAUGGAUGGUGAAAAAGGCAUGGAGUUAUGGAGCAGAGGUAAUGAGGCAAGAACUGUUACAGUUAAGAAAAUAUGGAAGCAUCUGGAAGAGUAAGUUGUGGUGGCUCAAGAAUGGGUUGCCUGAAAUGAAAAUGUCAGGGACAAUGCAGCUUCUAAUGAUGGCGAGAUUUACGGUGAGGUUACUGGAUGAAAAGGCUGUGGGAGGUAAAACAUAAGCAGGUUAAAAGGAACUGGUUUGAAUCUGUUUUUCACUUUGAGUUGGACUAAUUUUUUGGCUUAAAACCAGUUUGAACCAUGCUGAAUCAACAGAUCAACUGAUUUCUGUUGUAUAGCUCAUUGGUUUUAUAUACCUUGAACUAAAUCCGAACCUGUUUUAACUAACUUAAAAUUAUUUACUUUAAAUUACACAGUAUAUUAGUAUUAAAUGUUUUUUUGAAAAAACUGAAGCGUUCAAAAAAUAAAUUAGUAGCUUAGAAGGUUACAUUAGAUUUGUAGUGAUUUAUGUCUACAGUGAAUUUAUUGUUAAAACUAUGCUAAAGUUAAGGAAUAUUCCUACCAGUUAGAGAUUCCUUUUGAAAAGGACACAUAAAGAGGUUUUACUUAUGAUUCCAUAAGUCAAUCAAUCCAUUGUAACUUUAAUAAAACUCAC